rnacentral:rRNA from 1 species
CCUACGGGAGGCAGCAGUAGGGAAUAUUGCUCAAUGGGGGAAACCCUGAAGCAGCAACGCCGCGUGGAGGAUGAAGGUUUUAGGAUUGUAAACUCCUUUUGUUAGAGAAGAAGAUGACGGUAUCUAACGAAUAAGGACCGGCUAACUCCGUGCCAGCAGCCGCGGUAAUACGGAGGGUGCAAGCGUUACUCGGAAUCACUGGGCGUAAAGAGUGCGGAGGCGGGGUAAUAAGUCAGAUGUGAAAUCCUGUAGCUUAACUACAGAACUGCAUUUGAAACUGUUACUCUGGAGUGUGGGAGAGGUAGGUGGAAUUCUUUGUGUCGGCGUCACAUCCGUAGAGAUCACGAGGAAUACUCAUUGCGCCGGCGACCUGCUGGACCAUUCCUGACGCUGAUGCACGAAAGCGUGGGGAGCAAACAGGAUUAGAUACCCGAGUAGUC